rnacentral:pre_miRNA from 1 species
UAAAUACUCCCUCCAUCCGGAGAUACUUGCCGGAGAAAUGAAUAUAUCUAGACGUAUUUUAAUUCUAGGUACAUAUAUUUCGUUCCAUUUUUUUGACAAGUAUUUCUGGACGGAGGAAGUAGGUG